ensembl:lncRNA
AAGAGCGUGUGUAUUGAACGUGUGUAUUGUACGUGUGCAGCGAGCGUGUGCAGCGAGCGUGUGUAUUGAGCGUGUGCAGCGAGCGUGUGCAGCGAGCGUGUGUAUUGAACGUGUGUAUUGAACAUGUGCAGCGAGUGUGUGCAGCGAGCGUGUGUAUUGAGCGUGUGUAGCGAGCGUGUGCAGCGAGCGUGUGCAGCGAGCGUGUGUAUUGAGCGUGUGUAUUGAGCGUGUGCAGCGAGCGUGUGUAUUGAACGUGUGUAGCGAGCGUGUGUAUUGAGCGUGUGUAGCGAGCGUGUGUAUUGAACGUGUGUAUUGAACGUGUGUAACGAGCGUGUGUAUUGAACGUGUGUAUUGAACGUGUGUAUUGAACGUGUGUAGCGAGCGUGUGCAGCGAGCGUGUGUAUUGAACGUGUGUAUUGAACGUGUGUAGCGAGCGUGUGUAGCGAGCGUGUGUAUUGAGCGUGUGCAGCGAGCGUGUGUAGUGAGCGUGUGUAUUGAACGUGUGUAGCGAGCGUGUGUAGCGAGCGUGUGUAACGAGCGUGUGUAUUGAACGUGUGUAUUGAACGUGUGUAGCGAGCGUGUGUAGCGAGCGUGUGUAUUGAACGUGUGUAGCGAGCGUGUGUACGGAGCGUGUGCAGCGAACGUGUGUAAUCUGGGGUUCACUGUUUCGGACGUUCAAACUGUGGCGUAUCACCAUGUCAUAUAGCUCAUAUUUAUAGACACACACAUAUGACACACAGCUCCUCAGCAGGUGCUUGUAUUUUCAGGAAGGUUCCUCAACCUAAUGAGUCACCUCUGUGUGUGUGUGUGUGUGUGUGUGUGUGUGUGUGUGUGUUUUAUAUAUCUUCCAAAGCAAAUCUUCAGGAAAUUAGACGUGGCAUUAAUUAGAGGUGGCAUUAAAUUGAAGAGUGAAGAAGAAAACCAAGCUGUCCC